GCCUGGGUGGCUCAGUCGGUUGGGCGACUGACUUCGGCUCAGGUUGUGAUCUCAACAGUUUGUGAGUUCGAGCCCCACAUCGGGCU
rfam:Felis catus isolate Cinnamon breed Abyssinian chromosome C1, whole genome shotgun sequence.